UAAAAAGUCUAGCCUGCCCACUGAUAAAUAAUUUUAAUGGCCGCGGUAUUUCUGACUGUGCAAAGGUAGCAUAAUAGUUAGUUUCUUAAUUGGAAUCUUGUAUGAAUGGUUUGACAAGAAAAAAUCUGUCUCACAACUAUUUAUUGAAUUUAACUUUUAAGUGAAAAGGCUUAAAUAAAUUAAAAAGACGAUAAGACCCUAUAAAGCUUAAUAUUAUUUUAUUAUUUAAUAGAAUUUUUAAAUAUAAGUAUUUGGUAAUAAUUUAUAUUUUAUUGGGGUGAUAAUAAUAAAAUGAUUAUUAACUGUUAAUUGAUUAAAACAAAAAUAAAUGAAUAUAAAAUGAUUUAGUAAAUGAUCCUAUAUUAAAGAUUAAAAGUUUAAGUUACUUUAGGG
rnacentral:rRNA from 1 species